UGGGGAAUAUUGGACAAUGGGCGCAAGCCUGAUCCAGCAAUACCGCGUGUGUGAAGAAGGCCUGAGGGUUGUAAAGCACUUUCAAUAGGGAGGAAAAAGCGUUGGCGAAUACCCGAUGCCUUGACAUUACCUAUAGAAGAAGCACCGGCUAACUCCGUGCCAGCAGCCGCGGUAAUACGGAGGGUGCGAGCGUUAAUCGGAAUUACUGGGCGUAAAGCGUGCGUAGGCGG
rnacentral:rRNA from 1 species